rnacentral:rRNA from 1 species
UCCUACGGGAGGCAGCAGUGGGGAAUAUUGGACAAUGGGCGAAAGCCUGAUCCAGCCAUGCCGCGUGUGUGAAGAAGGUCUUCGGAUUGUAAAGCACUUUAAGCUGGGAGGAAGGGCAGUAAGUUAAUACCUUGCUGUUUUGACGUUACCAGCAGAAUAAGCACUGGCUAAUUUCGUGCCAGCAGCCGCGGUAAU